rnacentral:rRNA from 1 species
GACGAACGCUGGCGGCAUGCCUAAUACAUGCAAGUCGAGCGAACAAAUGAAGUGCUUGCACUUCUGACGUUAGCGGCGAACGGGUGAGUAACACGUAAGGAAUCUACCUAUAAGCGGGGGAUAACAUUCGGAAACGGGUGCUAAUACCGCAUAAUAUCUUCUUCCGCAUGGAAGAAGAUUGAAAGACGGCUCUGCUGUCACUUAUAGAUGACCUUGCGGUGCAUUAGUUAGUUGGUGGGGUAACGGCCUACCAAGACGAUGAUGCAUAGCCGAGCUGAGAGGGGGUUCGGCCACAUUGGGACUGAGACACGGCCCAAACUCCGACGGGAGGCAGCAGUAGGGAAUCUUCCGCAAUGGGCGAAAGCCUGACGGAGCAAUGCCGCGUGAGUGAAGAAGGCCUUCGGGUCGUAAAACUCUGUUAUAAGAGAAGAACAAAUUGUAGAGUAACUGCUACAGUCUUGACGGUAUCUUAUCAGAAAGCCACGGCUAACUACGUGCCAGCCGCCGCCGUAA